AAACCAACCGUCCCUAGAGCAAGUAGCAAAAGGCUUGGUGGUUGGUACCCGAGACCCAAGUUCGAAUUUGUGAAACAACCAUUGUACUCUAAAAGCAUAAGUUGUUAGAGAACGGUGUUUAAACAUUUUUAACACUCCCCCUCACGUCUGGACUCGAGACUUUUUAAUCGGCUCAUGACGUGGGCUUGAAUUAAAUGGGAUGAAAUUAAUAUGCUAGGAGCCUGGCGUGACUCGAACUCAAGACCUCCUGCUCUGAUAUCAUAUGAAACAACUGUUGUACUCUAAAAGCUUAAGCUAAUAGAGAACGGUGUUUAAAUAUUUUUAUGUUUAACAGAAUUCUAGUUGAUUCACAUUUCUAGCUAAGUUUAUUUUUAAAUGAAAUAAACGAAACAGGUAACGUGCCAUCUAUCUUUCUUAAAAAAAAAAAAAAAAAGAAAAGAAGAAAUACUUCUUGAGAUGAAGUGCAUAUUUGUGUCUAAUCCUACAUGUCCUUGUAACACAAUAAUAAUAAUUAGAAUAAUUUCAUAAAGCUUCCAACAUUGGUCACAUUCAAAACAAGACAUAAAAUAAGGUUUUUUUUAAAAAAAUAUUCUCUUAUAACAGGGGGCAUGCACCAUAUUUUACCUAGUGGUGUACCAUCACAACCUUAAACCCCUAAAACCCCUUGAAACCCUAAAAAGCCACUUUUUUGGCCUGAUGCACGCCAACACCAACCACCACCAUCUCCCAACAAUAUUUAUUACUUAUUUUAUUCAUUUUUUGUGUGUGAUAGUAC
rnacentral:lncRNA from 1 species